UACAGAGGUGGCAAGCGUUGUUCGGAAUUACUGGGCGUAAAGGGUUCGUAGGUGGCCACUUAAGUCAGGCGUGAAAUCCCUCAGCUUAACUGGGGAACUGCGUCUGAUACUGGGUGGCUUGAGUGCAGGAGAGGAAUGCGGAAUUCCAGGUGUAGCGGUGAAAUGCGUAGAUAUCUGGAGGAACACCGGUGGCGAAGGCGGCAUUCUGGACUGUAACUGACACUGAGGAACGAAGCCAGGGGAGCAAACGGG
rnacentral:rRNA from 1 species